GACGGGACCCGCACAAGCAGCGGAGCAUGUGGUUUAAUUCGAAGCAACGCGAAGAACCUUACCAGGGCUUGACAUGCCGCUGACCGGUUUAGAGAUAGAUCUUUACCCUUCGGGGUACAGCGGACACAGGUGGUGCAUGGUUGUCGUCAGCUCGUGUCGUGAGAUGUUGGGUUAAGUCCCGUAACGAGCGCAACCCUUGUCCUUAGUUACCAGCACGUAAUGGUGGGCACUCUAAGGAGACUGCCGGUGACAAACCGGAGGAAGGUGGGGAUGACGUCAAGUCAUCAUGGCCCUUACGGCCAGGGCUACACACGUGCUACAAUGGUCGGUACAGAGGGUUGCCAAGCCGCGAGGUGGAGCUAAUCUCACAAAACCGAUCGUAGUCCGGAUCGCAGUCUGCAACUCGACUGCGUGAAGUCGGAAUCGCUAGUAAUCGUGAACCAGAAUGUCACGGUGAAUACGUUCCCGGGUCUU
rnacentral:rRNA from 1 species